rfam:Schistosoma mansoni strain Puerto Rico chromosome 1, complete genome
AUCCAGCUGUUGAAUCCCAAAUAGGACGAAGCGCGCGUCAAACUGGAU